CCUACGGGAGGCAGCAGUGAGGAAUAUUGGUCAAUGGUCGGGAGACUGAACCAGCCAAGCCGCGUGAGGGAUGAAGGUACAGAGUAUCGUAAACCUCUUUUGUCAGGGAACAAAGGCGGGGACGCGUCCCCGGAUGAGUGUACCUGAAGAAAAAGCAUCGGCUAACUCCGUGCCAGCAGCCGCGGUAAUACGGGGGAUGCGAGCGUUAUCCGGAUUUAUUGGGGUUAAGGGGUGCGCAGGCGGUCUGUUAAGUCAGCGGUCAAAGCCCGGGGCUCAACCCCGGCCCGCCGUUGAAACUGGCAGUCUGGAGUUGGAGAGAGGUAUGCGGAAUGCGCGGUGUAGCGGUGAAAUGCAUAGAUAUCGCGCAGAACUCCGAUUGCGAAGGCAGCAUGCCGGCUCCACACUGACGCUGAGGCACGAAAGCGUGGGUAUCGAACAGGAUUAGAUACCCUUGUAGUC
rnacentral:rRNA from 1 species